rnacentral:rRNA from 1 species
UACGAAGGGGGCUAGCGUUGUUCGGAAUCACUGGGCGUAAAGCGCGCGUAGGCGGCUUUGUAAGUUAGAGGUGAAAGCCCGGAGCUCAACUCCGGAACUGCCUUUAAGACUGCAUCGCUUGAAUCCAGGAGAGGUGAGUGGAAUUCCGAGUGUAGAGGUGAAAUUCGUAGAUAUUCGGAAGAACACCAGUGGCGAAGGCGGCUCACUGGACUGGUAUUGACGCUGAGGUGCGAAAGCGUGGGGAGCAAACAGG